GCGGAUGUGGUGCAUGGUGCACCGCUGCUCUGUAUAGGCAGACCACCACAAACUUAAGCAGCAAUCGGGGUUCGACUCCCUGCCUCCGCA